UGUAGGCGGUCCUCUAAGUUUGGUGUGAAAUCUCCCGGCUCAACUGGGAGGGUGCGCCGAAAACUGGGGGGCUAGAGUGCGGGAUGGGAGAGUGGAAUUCCUGGUGUAGCGGUGAAAUGCGUAGAUAUCAGGAGGAACACCUGUGGUGUAGACGGCUCUCUGGACCGCAACCGACGCUGAGACACGAAAGCGUGGGUAAGCAAACA
rnacentral:rRNA from 1 species